AUUUAAAUAGUUUAAUAAAAAUUUUGAUUUGUGGAAUCAAUGAUAUGUAAUUAAUUAUGUUUUAAAUU
rnacentral:tRNA from 1 species